rnacentral:rRNA from 1 species
AUGUGCGUGCGGAUCUCCCGCGACUCCUACCCCAACCUCCACGCCCUCCACAACGCCUCCAACGACAGCCUCACUGACGCUGCCUACGUCAAGAUCUCCGAGGGCGACUUCGGAUACGUCCUCGACGACGUGCCCCACCUCCCCGACUACCUCCCCGUGAGCAGCCACCCCUCCCCUCCCCUGCUCCUCCUCGCUCGACCGCUCGUAAUUGUCCGGCGCGGGGGAUUACCCAUUUUUGAGCGUGCAGUGUGCCUGAUUAGUCGGCCACGAUCCACAGAUAGAAGGCAACUCUGA